rnacentral:rRNA from 1 species
UACGUAGGGCGCAAGCGUUGUCCGGAAUUAUUGGGCGUAAAGAGCUCGUAGGCGGUUUGUCGCGUCUGCUGUGAAAAACCUGAGGCUCAACCUCGGGCUUGCAGUGGGUACGGGGCAGACUAGAGUGCGGUAGGGGGUGACUGGAAUUCCUGGUGUAGCGGUGGAAUGCGCAGAUAUCAGGAGGAACACCGAUGGCGAAGGCAGGUCACUGGGCCGCAACUGACGCUGAGGAGCGAAAGCGUGGGGAGCGAACAGG